rnacentral:lncRNA from 1 species
GGUUACAUAAUCACUAAGCAGCAAAGAGGAGCUUAAAACGCUGGCAAUCUAACACAGAGAUUGUUCACUCAACCACUGCACAGUACUACCUACAAGGUGCCGGCGUACAGGCGAACGAAACUGGCAGGAGGCGAGACAAAUGAUCAACUUCCUUUUGGUGCCCUCUCCAGGUCAUACUACCUUUGCCUUGCCAAGUCUUGGGACAGAAAAUAGACUUCUCUGGAAGAAGCAAUUGAUUGACUAUUGCUCUGGAUUUGAUUCACCAAGUUGAGCACCUUCAACGCAAACUGCAGAGAGUACGAGAAUGCAAAGCAGGUGUGCUUCUGCCUCAUGCUCUCCUUCACCCAAAGCCAAGUCUUCCCAACUCCAUCACUUACUUUGUUUUGAAGAGGGGUCAGAGGUACUGCUUCUGCAAUGAGUUUCCUGCCUUGGGCAAAGCCCACAAGAACCUGGUGAUUUGGCGCCCCCCAGGGGAACCCAGUCAGCCCCAUUCCUGCUCAGUGAUGGACAAGGGGCCCUGAGGGGCAGAGUGAGGCUGGAAGUUACUCUGAACAGCCUAAAUGACAGACUUUACAGAUGCCCUGGACUUUUCUCAUAGUCAGGGGCCAGCAGAAGGGGAGGCUGCAGCUCCUGAAAGCUCUCCUUGGUAUAAUGGAGACACUGUGAGGCUUAGAGGCAAAAACAUGAGUUGAAACCUAAUUCUGUUCUGCCUUAGUCCUGUGCGAUGAGACAAGUGACUUUCUUUCCUCAUUUGUAAAUGAAGCCAAUAAUAUUUAAUUUGAAUGCCUCUGUUAGAAAAAAAUUAGGCAGUGACUUAGAGGUGAGCUUCAAAAUGGCCUACAACUCAUGAAGACCCAUGUUCUCAGUACCCAAAUCCUGGAGGGUCCUUGGUGUGUCAGGGAGUGAGGAGAGUUGAGCACAAGCUGCACCCCCUCCCAGGGAGUCAUUCCUCAUCCUGAGAACUGGAGCAGCCACAGACAUACCGGAAUGGCUCAGAACAGGGAGGCCCUUCGGUUGCCAGGUGCCAAGCAGCCUGGGUAUGAAAUCUGGGGUCCCCAUGGUCUGUUGAUCUCCAGCACAUGCUGAUUGGCUAGCCUACUCUCCAGACAGCGGGUUCAGUUCCCAUGGAUCUCAGUCCAGCCUGAUGCAAUCAGAUCAAGAUGUAAGGCUCUUAUUGUUUUGCUUUUCUCAGAGUCUUUAAUCAUCAAGUGGGAGUCAAAAACUCGCCGCCUUGGCAAGAAACCCCAGGCUUUGUAAUCAGUCCCUCCCUGAAAAUCAGGUCAUGGUGUUUGAAAAGACAAUUUUCUAAAGAAAGAGGUUUUUAAAAGGAAAUGCCCAGACUUGCUGGCAUUUUCACAAGGAUAUUAUUGAUCAUCCAUGUCAACCCUCCUAAAGAACUGUUUGCCUACCUCCUGCUAUUGCUGUUUGCAGUAUGUCUUAUUGAAGUAGAGGGUUGGGAUGAGACUGACCUGUGUAAUGAAGAAACCAAACAGGGCUUCAGAAGUGUUAAGCCUCAUUUGGGGGAAUUAAAUCAUCACUGGGCCUUCAGGUCUUCUGCAGAGGGAUCAGCUGUCUACUUUUAGGUGUAAGUACCUUUCAUCAUAAAAAUCGUAGAAUAUUAGAGCUAAAAGGGACCCUAGAGUUUUUGUCAGUCCAGCUCCUUCCUUUGACAGCUGUGGGAAUUUAGGCCCGGACAGGUGGAGCAAUUUUCCCAGCUCACACAGAAAGUGAAAACAUUGGGACUUGAGCCCAUGUCUUCUGGCUCCCAAGCAUGAAGCCCUUCCACCACAUUUGUCUUAUUAGCUAAUUCUAGGGCGGGUGUUGAGCUUUGUAGGAUGAAGGCAGAAGGAAUAUUCUAGCCAGGGCAUACAUGCAGAGGGACUAGGAUGGGAGCUGAGCCCAGUGGAGGCUGGGAGAGAGCAUGGGGAAGUCAAGGAGAGGCCCCUUUGUUAGCCCAGGGUGGGUGUGUCAGUCAGCAGGUAUGCGCCAUCUCUAGGAGGAAGGACGGAGAGACUGUGGUUUUAGAACAUCACUUCUGGGUGGCUUUAAGACAAAUUUCUGAUCGGUUACACUCUAUAAACCGGGAGAGAGAAGGACCACUGAACCUGUCUGUCUCAUUCCUCCUGUGGCCUUAGCGCCUGGCACAGUCAUUCAUGGAUUCACCAGAUUCAUGGCGUGCACUACGUGCCAGCCCUGUGCUAGGUGCUGGGGAGAAAAUGAAGAGCAUAUCCUGCCAUUGGCUUAGUCCUUAUGGAGAUUCCAUUUUAGCAGCAGAGAUAGAAAUGAAAUUGUCACACAAAUAAAUGUAAAAUUAUGAUGUAAUGAGAAAACAAAACUAUGCAUACCCACAUAGGCAUCAUUGAUGUGUAUGUACAUGCAUCAAAAAAGAGAUAAGAGGACACAUGCCAAACUCAUUGUGGGAAGGGGCCUGGGAGCCUCAUGUUUUAUGCGAAUUGUAGGAAUUUUUUAAAGCAAAAUGCGCUUAUGUGUUAGAAGUCAAAAUAGUGGCCAUUACCCUUGCAGGGAGGCGCAGUCACUGGAAAGCGGGG